rnacentral:misc_RNA from 1 species
ACAAGAAGAGUGAGUAAGAGCUUUCUAGGAGCUUCCAGCUCUUAAUUCAGUACUUCAAUAACCCUCCCAUUGCCCUUAGUGGUAUUGCCGUGUUUGUAAUUUCUUCCUUCAGCAACAGCAACACAACUUAUUUCCUUCGGUCACCACCGCGCAAUUCUCUGAAGGAUCUCGCGCACAUCGAGACUGCUUUCCCGAAAAAAACUGACUUGUAUCAGAGAAAAGUGCAACAACAAAUUCAAUCACAACUGCACAUUUUACACUACAGACAUAGAACUGUCAUUUGCACAAAAAAAAAGCAACUUCAUUGAGGCGGCUAAUUAUAAGACGUUGGUAUAGAAAUCAAACCAGCUAUACAUGUCAAACCAUGU